rnacentral:ribozyme from 1 species
CUUUUUUUUUUUUUUUUUUUUUUUUUUUUUUUUUUUUUCCUUGUUCAU